GGGGGCGCUAGGUUUCGACAGGGGACGACACUCGAGAAUUGCAAGCCGAGGCUUGCCACCGCGCCUCGUAAAAAGGUGGCAACGGCAUAACUGCCAACGAACCAGUAGCUCUCGCGGCGUAACAACGCCACGAGCGUCCACCCAACCUCUUCUCGAUGGGUUGGGAUCGGGCGUCACCAAGUCGAGAUGCGGUAGCCCCGACCGCCUGCUGAGGGUUACCUAAGCGAAGCGGGCUGGCCCGAUGGUCCCCCGUCGGUAGGAGACCUGAGGGCAAGAUGCCAAAUGCCGACUAAGCUUGUAGCAUAUUCUCGGUGAACUCGCUCUGGACGGGGAGUUCGACUCUCCCCCGCCUCCACCA
rnacentral:tmRNA from 1 species